CCCUUAGAUGUCCGGGGCCGCACGCGCGCUACACUGAAGGAAUCAGCGUGGCUUUCUCCCUGACCCGAAAGGGUUGGGAAACCCGUUGAAUCUCCUUCGUGAUAGGGAUUGGGGCUUGAAAUUGUUCCCCAUGAACGAGGAAUUCCCAGUAAGCGCGAGUCAUAAGCUCGCGUUGAUUACGUCCCUGCCCUUUGUACACACCGCCCGUCGCUACUACCGAUUGAACGGUUUAGUGAGGGCCUCGGAUCGGUCUCGGCCCGCUCUUUACCGGGCGGCGCCGUUGGUCGAGAAGACGCUCGAACUUGAUCGUUUAGAGGAAGUAAAAGUCGUAACA
rnacentral:rRNA from 1 species